UUUCAUCCAAGUCAUGAAUAUAAUCAUAAAUUUUGAGGUCGCAAUUCUUGGAUCAAUCCACUGGUUACAGUUUGGCAACCUGAAAAUGAUUCAUUUAUCCUGACUUUUACCUGUUAGUUAGCCAUUCCUCUAGCCAUGCUAAUCUAUCACUGCCAACAUCAUAGAUUCUUAGCUUUUCCAGUAGAAACUUGCGUAGCUCCUUAUUGAAUGCCUUUUGAAAAUCCAUAAAUACUCCAUCUACAGCUUUCCCUUUAUCUUCAAAGAGCUUAGAGUUGUCAAAUACAAAUUUCCUUUCACACAAUCAGGCAACCUUGUCUCAUGAUUUUCUAAAUGUACCUCCUGAAUAAUGGUUCUAAUAUUUUGCCGAUAAUAAAUGUUAGACUAGCUGACCUAUAGUUUCCCAUUUCUGUCUACCUCCUUUCUUGAACAAUGUUGCAUUUGCGGUUUUCCAGUAUGCUGGGGCCUUUCCAGAAUUUGGGGAAUUUUGGAAGAUUAUAAACAAUGCAUUCGCUAUAUCUGCAGCUACUUCUUUUAAGGUGUGUGGUGGCAGGUUAUCAGGUCCAGGGAACUUAACAGCCUUAAGUUCUGCUAGUUUCCCUAUCACUUUUACUCUGGUGACAUUAAUUUGUUUUAAUUCCUCCAUCCCUUUCAUCUCUUCAGUUUGGAAUGCUUCUCACAGAUCUUCUUCUAUGGAUAUGAAAUAACUGCACAAAGGCCAGUAUCCCAUCACCAAGUCACCUUUUAUUUACGUGUGCACAGUGCAUGGGCUCUGACCAGCCAGUUAAGAGCCAGUUCCUAGAAAAAGGAUACUGUCUGAAUCUCCUGUUUAUCUGUCAGUCAGGACUCUCUGAUGGGCCCAGGUUAACAACCCCAAUCAAGGAUCUGUCAGUAAGAUCAACCUGGCCCUUGUUCCAAUCACUACAGAGUACAAAUGCAAAAUAGUUCAAAGCUUCUGCCUCUUCUUGUGUCCCAUUAGUAAUUCCCUAGUUUCAUCCUCUAGGUGACCAAUGCUCACUUUAACUACUCCUCUUAUUUACUUGUCGAAGCAUUUACUGUCGGUUUAUAUAACAUAUAUAUAGUUUCCUCUCGUACUUUUCUUUCUUUUUUAGACAUCCUUUGCCGAUUCCUGAACUUCAGAUCUUCAAAUCAAAUAUUAUUAUUUGUCAUGAGUUUUGUACAAUGCCAGUUUAAGAAGAUAGGAAGAAAUAUCGGACUUUGAAACUAGAAUGCUACUGUAUGAAGGGAACGCAGACUGCAUGAUUGUUCUAUGAAGGGAAACUUAAAGCAUUGAUAUUGCUUAUAUCCAUUUCAGCUUUUAAGCCAGUUCAUGUCCUCCAUUUCUAAACCUUUGAGUGCAUAAAUGCAAAUUUUUAAUAACUCCAUUACUUGUUAGCAUCUCCCUCCAAAAGGUAAGUUAUCUUACAAAGUGCAAAUCUACAAUUAAAAGUGCUUUGGUGUAAUUUGAAUUGGGUAGUAUCCAUUUAUGAUUCGCGAUAAACCCACGGUAAUUGUAGGUUAGCUAAGAAAUUGAGGAUGCUAACGACAAAUUAAAAAGUUUGUUAUCUCCAUCAGAAAAUGCAUGAUCUGCCUAUGGGCACCAUCCACAAAGCAUGUGAAUCCAUAAAGUAAUAAAAGGCAAUGCACUCUGGCAACACCACUUCAGAAUAUAGCACAGACUAGGAGAUACAAAAGACUAUUCAUCUAGGCUAGGAUCCAUUCUAGCAAUAAUGGGAGAUGUUCAGCAAGUGGGUACACAGAUUUAUUUAUUUUAUGUAUUUUGUCUAUGCUGGACGUUUUUGGACAUCUGUAAUCCUAAUGAACAGUGAACUUAACACAGUAUAUGGGAAGGUUAGCAAUCUCUCUAUAUUCCUCCAUUGGGUCUAUAGUGCUUAUUUUUACUACUAUGCUGUAAGCGCAGGAAUGAGUCUUCAGUUGACUUCAUCCUAUUCUGUUUUACAUAGUAAACAUAGAAGCAAGAGAACUUACCUUAUGUUCCUAUCAGGAAACAGUGCUCACUAAAUCAGCAGCUCUUGAAAAGGCAGUGCUCACUAAAUCCAUGAAUAUAUAACUAUUGCAAAAAUUGGAACAGCUUAGUCCACCUGCAUGGAAUAAAUGGCAUCAUUGAUGUGAGUGACAUGGCAGGCUCUGCGUUGAGGUAUUAUACACACUAGUUUCUGAAGCAGUAUGUCAAAUUUAGCUGUAGUUGUUACUUCCAAUCCUGUUUUGAACUAAGUGACAGCUCUCUUGAUUACUUUCAUUGAGUGUAUUAUGUAAUGAUCCAUUAGCCCAUAAAGGGAAAAUAACUUUUUCUGUCUCUACCUAGAGCCUGUUAAUUUUAAACCAGAGUCCUUUAUAUCUGUGCUCACUGCCUGUAGCUUGUUCCAUCUGCAUCAUAAAGUUAUCUUCUCAACAGCAAUCAAAUAGAUGACCUUUCCACUCAUUAACAGAGGAUAGUCUAUCAGGCAGCAAUUAAGUAAUCAGUUAGCUUGGUUGAGCAGGUCUACGUUGUUACUUGAUUCGAAAAGGACCUACAAAUUCCUUCUCUUGUUUGCUAGUUAAUCUGAAUUUUAGGGUCAUCUAUCCACCUGAUGUGUUAUUUAAGAAUCAGGAGGCAUGGUUUAAAACUUUCAAGCAACACUACGCUAUAGUUACUGAUUAGUCUGUAUUCACUUUUACAGGAUUGCAAGUAUAGGAGCAAUCACUGUUUACGUAAAAAAACAAUCUCAUAGAGACCCACUAGCUGGGUUGCCUGCUGAGAAAAUACAUGCUUGGACGGUUUCGCCCGUGUUCACUUGCAGAGAUUGCUAUCUACCUUGUUUCUGGGUGAUGAGCUUGAAUAUAUCAUUGCCACUUAGCAAAUAAAUAUGUUUCAUACUGACUUGAUUUGGACCUCCAGGAUUGACAUUGAGGAAAUGGGAAUCAUGUGAUCUGUAUUCACCUAGGUGGCAACUGGAAUUAAACCUAUCUCAUAUGUAACUGCAACAAUCAGGAGAUUUCUAGUAACCAUUAAGUAAUUCAAGGGUGCAGUUUCUUUAUUUGGAACCUCCCACCCUAAUCUAAAUAAUUGGUGCCUUGUCUUUUGCCCUCCUGAGUACCAUUCUCCUUAUCCGGAAAUUUUUUAAGAAGGAGGGUAAUAGCCCUCAUUGUUAUUCAGGUUAGUGUGCUUGGGUUACUGCUUCCGAUAGCACUCAAAUCUAGCAAAACGGUCAGCCUAUUUGAAGAAAAUUUAAUGUUUUUGUUUCUCUGAUACUGUGAGAUUCCCAGUAUUAUUAACUAGUGCCACUGAAGAAGUUCCUUAUCUUACUCAGUUACUUUCAUUUGUAAUUGAAUUAUAAAUAAGUUGCCCACUAUAUGCAAGAUCUCAUUCUCAAUUUUAGUAACUGAACAUUGAUAGAGGCCAAAUACAUGAUUUAAAAAUUGUGUGCCUGAGAGGAAUUCUGAAACUAAGUACAACAUUUGUGGUGAUGAAAGUGAAAUCACUUCUUGUAUAAUCUCCCGAUUUAUUACUUUUGCAUUGUAAAUGAUCUGGAAGCCAGUGCAAUUUUUAGAUCAUUGGGAACAUUUUCCCCUGAAAUCUAAUCUCAACUUGCUGUUAUAUACUUGUAACAGCUAACCAAAAAUUAAAUUUGGAUUUUGACACAGUGUUAAGCUUAUAAUGUUAAUAUGUAUCAGAAUUUGAAUAUAUUCCAUAACUUUAUACUUUCCUAAUUUAAAAUAAAUUUGUAAUAGCUACUUGAGUAUUAUACAGAUACAAUGUAAAUAUUGCCUUUUUGGUACAGUUGAAAAUAGAUUAACAUCAUGAUGUCAAUCAGUAUUAUGUUACGGGUGGCAAGUCAGGUUUCCUUGGUGCAAGGUACUUCUACAGCAAUCUCUGAAGAAGUGGCAAAAUACCUAAUUAAGGGUACUUGGCUUAAAUCUAACCACCCUCGCUAAAAAACCACAAUUUUCUGUAAAAUUUAAUUAUUUGUCAACUUUAGCAGAAUUUAUUGACAAUUACUGGUUCCUAGUACUACUGAAUAAAUGUUCAUCCAUGCCCAAUAAUCAAACUGAUUAUCUCUAUCGAGUGUGGAUAUGAUUGUACAUUUUUUUAAAAGACAAACAUAUCUUUGUGAAGCAGAAAUGGAUGUAAGACAAUACUUGAGAGGUCUGUAUAUUUACCAACAAAAAAGCUUUGUUUUUACUUUUUUGUGGCACUCUUAUUAGCACUUCUGGGAUGAGCUGGAUAAUGUAAGUGAAGUAAUUAUUUUUCCUUUUGGGAGUAUAAAGCUCUUGGGGGAAAAUUUAGGCAAAUGUUCUUUACCAGUGAAAUAUCCAGCACUUUAUUCAGCUAAUAUUGUGACCAGUAAUUCCCCUUAAUAUUUGUGAUUUUUUUUUCAGUCAAUUGUCCACCGUACAACUUAAGAGUAUUUACUAAAUGUGUAUAAAAAUGUUCUGUUUACUGUAAAUAUUGAAACUAUUUUCUUACUGUGCAUAUUUUGAACCGUGCAAAAACAAAAGAUAAGCAGCUACUUCCCUUCAUUGAGGAUGUUUUUGGUAGUACAGGCUUGUUCUGAAGGGAGCUUCAGUUGCCUGACCAGCUUUUGGGUCAGUUGUUUUAAAUACAGAAUUUCUAUUCAGAUUUGUAUGGUUUAUAUCUAUUGUAAGUUUCAUUUUUUGGAAAGGUUCAUUUUUUAUAUAUAUGUGUACAUGUAUAUAUACACACAAAUAUAUAUGAAAUGGUAUAAUAUUUUGUUAUAUGUACUAAUUGAGUACAAUCAAAUGAUAACUUCACCACAUGUUUUUGUGGUAGCUGUGUGAAACUGUCAAAAUUAGUUCAAAAUGGCAUCUUUGCUACCGUUUUUGACUGAUUUUAAAUACUUGUUUUCAAAGGAAAUCAAAUAUUUAUGGGGCAUACUGUGAAGUAACAGGGCUAAAUGUAUUUUAAAUAUGACUUUUCAUGAGAAACCAUAUAAACAGAUAAUGCUGAAUGAGAAAGUAUUUUUAUUUUUUUUAUUUUGGCACACAGUUUUUAUCAUGAGACAAAACUGAAAUCUAAAAUCAGAUAAAAAAAAUUAUGUAGAUGUUCAUCUUUUGAGUUCACUAUUUAUACUGAAUACCAUUUUGUCAUGUACUAUUCUGAUUCUAUUACUGCCUAUUAUCAUGGGAGCGUGUAGUAGUAGCCUAAAUAUGUAAAAAUGAAUUUAUGUUGCUGGCUUAAAAAAAACCUGAAUUUAUAGUGCAUUGUUAACUCUUCACAUUCAUAUUAAGAUUUAUGACUGUUUGUAAUCUUAUUUUUGUUCAGCAACAUCCCAUUCAAUUCAUAUUAUUGUAAAUAUCUCUAUGCAGUAAUAUAACUUCAGAUCACAUUUGUUUCUUACCUCGCAUGUCAAAUUAGCAUUAAUUUUGCUUUUUACUGAGUACCUUUAACAAAUGUAAUUGAAUGAUAAGAUGAACCAAAUACCUAUAAAUAUUUUAGAUUAAUAUUCCAAAAUAUUGAGUUUUAUUUGAUUAAUUUAUAUUUAAAAGACAUCAGGUAGCUAAAACUUAAGGUACUUAUUUUUUUUAUGGAUCCUUAAAUACACAUUUAAGAGGCUUCUAUCAGAAGCUGUUUGUCUCCUCCAUGUCUACUCCCAGCUUUUCAACUUAUUUAUUCUGUUUCGUCAGAAUAAAAGUAUAUAUUUAAUUCAUCCACAUCCACAGACUGCAACUUCUGCUAAUUAAACCAACAUAAUUGUUAGACUUGUGGAACAAACAAACUUAACUAACCUGCUUCCAAUUGCAUGAAUUUUUAAUUAAAAGCUAAUGGAUAGGAAAACUGGGUACAAAUAAUUUUAGUAUUCAGGUAGCCAGGGAGCCUAAAGUAACACUGUUAUUGCUUACCUGUCUUUCAUUAUCCGUCAUCUUACUGGUAUUGUUCAGCUUUGAAAUGCCCUGUUCAGUAAUUGAAGAUUGUAGUUUGCUCAGCUGAUUUUAUCUGAAUACUUUUGUACUGUGUUGAAAGAAAUUGGAAUGUCAUUCUUGUUUUUGCACAAUGGAUCAUUGCAAAUUUAUUAAGAUUUUAUUUAGUUUUGAACUUUAAAUUGAAUUGUUUUUCAUUAAAUGAGUAUUUAGGGCUAAAAUGAGGGUGAUGGGCAUCUUGUACAACAAGAUAAAGAUUAUUAACAAAGCUUCCAUGCUGGAAUAUUUGGUAAUUUGAUUGAAAUAAAGCUUCAUUGCUAAACAGUUGACUUCUUAAGAUGUUCAGUAGUUCAAUGGAAGAUCUGGAUCUAGAACAUUAUUGCACCCCUCUAAUAGACAGUAAUUGAACCAGAACUUUGCACAAGUUAUCAGCUUUUAUGGAAAUGAGAGUUUUAAUACUAUUGUUUCAUUGAACCUUCUUUUUAUGUUAUUACAUAAUAUUGAUAUUUUAUGUUGAGUAUGGUUCAUUUGGAAAGUACACAUGGCAAGUUUACUGAUUCCACAUUUUCAAUACUUACAGAUCACCAAAUCAGCAUAGCCCAAUGUUUUGUUUUUGCUUCCUUUAAGGUCAGCCCCUCCACUUUGUGCAUAAAAUGAAGAAUUUUCCUUUACAUAUUCCUGAUAAUGACCUUUUUUUAAAUAGCGCUGAUAUUCCGCAUGCUAAACUUUAGUGUAGAAAUACAAGAAGCCCUUAUGAUUUGACAUUUAAUUUUUGACAUUCUUGUAAUAAUGAAGCUCGAUUUUUAUAUAUGCUUUUUAAUAAAAGUUGUACUUGUGUCUUGGUUUGUUUCAUUUUUAUUCUUCUCCUGUAGGUUACUUAGCUUCACCCACCUGAAAAAGCUUGGAUGUGCACAGCAUAUCAUGUGAUAAACCAUGAGCAGAAAUAAUUUCUGUGUGCUAUCAGACAACAUCCAAUCUUGAGAUUUUGCUGGGUUUAGACAAAAAUCACUUAUUAUAAGCAACAAAAUUCACAGCCAUUUGGUCUCGACCCUCGUUGCCCUCAUGCCUCUUAAUUUUAAUUGUUAUGUUUUAAUUUUGAGAAAAUUUAAUGUAAUUUUUUCUAAUUAUAUAACUCAAUCUGGCAUACAAAUCUGCCUGGUAAAAAUAAGCAAUUUCUGGCUUUUAAAUAACCUAGAAGGCAUUACUGGGGCCGGGGAAAAAGUUGUUUUUGGUUGGUGGGGUGGUGCUAUGUGCAGCUGAGAUUGUUUUGACAUAAACCUAUAUCCCACUCCAGAUUCAUCUUCAGCAAUUUCUUGGAAACAAAAUGCCUAUUGUAUUUGUAAUCAGUGAAGACUGGUUUUGCUCAUGGUUAAUUGAGGGCCACAGAUAUUAACCUUAUCUCGUCACAACUGUAGGAAUAAUGCAGACUGAAAUGUUUGCGCAGACACUGCUUCCAGAACUUUUAUCCAAAAGUAGGUAUAGGAAAGAUCAAGGCCACAAUUUUUUAUAACAUUUAUUUAUCCUAAAAUUAGUGCACCUUGUUUAAGAAUAGCACAGAUAUUUAAAUUUGCCCGUAAUAGAUGAAAUCUGUAUAUUUUUGUGAUUUCUGCAGGUAUUCAAAUGUAGUAGAACAUGGUUUUAUGCAACGUAUGAGGAGUGUUGAAUAUUUUUGCAGUAGAUUUCUUUUGGUGAGUUACAGCUAGUGUUUUGCACUAUUAGAUCAGUAGAUGUUCUGAUUGAGCACAGCAUAUAUCCAGUACCCUGUGUAAUUUGGUAUAUAAUGAACAAUCAUAAGAAAAGGUGCAAUGUGUAAAUUACAUGUUCAAAAUUUAUUUAGCAAAUAAGCAAGAAAUGUUGUUCUAUAUAGCUAAAUUGAGCCUGCGAUGCUGUUGUGUUGACUCUUGAUACAGUUAAUAGUUGACUUUACUUGAACCUUUGUUUAUCAAGAUGUUCUCCAUUUUUUUUCUUGUUUUCAUGUCUCUUUCACUCUCAUCGCCAAGGCAGAGUUUUGUCUCAUAUUCACUAAUACUGUCUCAAAUGAAGACUGAGAUAAUAUAGAUUUUUUUGUAUGGACAGAAACAUGGAUAUGAAAUGCCUCAUUAAUGUUUGAUUUCACUUCACAUUUUUAAAGAAAUGGUUUAGUGAUAAUGUGUUUAAGUUUUUUUUUAAGAAUUGUUUCAUAUUUGGAUGAAGUUUAUAAAGCAGUAAGGAAAAUACUUUGGAUGCUGGAAAUCUGACAGAAACAAAGCACUGGAAAUACUCAGUAGGUCUGGCAGCAUCUGUGGAUGGAGAAAUAGAGUUAAUAUAUCUUAUGAGUCAAAUUUGAACUAGUAGGUGAAUCAGUAAGGCUGCUCUGGGAUAUGUUUCUGCAAUCAACAAAUUGGAAACCAGUUUGAGUCACCAAAACUAUAUUGUGGGAGAGCUCCAAGUAUCAUGAAUUUCUUUUUUAAGUGAGACAUUUAAAUAUUUAAACAGUGUGAACUUUACAGAAGGCUUUGAUACUUCACUAUCACAACUAAUUCAUGACUAUUUAAUAAGUUUAUGCUAUAAUUAAUUAUGUCAUUAUAUUAGCACUUUUUAAAAGAACUAAUGUAAACACACUUCUUCCUUUUAUUGUGAUACAACAACUAAUAACCCAAAGUGUUGUCUUCAUUGUUAAUGAGAAUAUUAGUAGACCAUGCCUGCUGUUUCUAAUCCAAUCUCACAUUCCACUCUUGUGAUGCUGUAAUUUUAUUUUCCUUAAGUUUGCAUCGAAUUUGCACUCAUUGCGUAAAAGCUUAUUUAUUACAUCCCCCAGCACCUCUUGCCCAAUAAUUUAAAUCUGUGUCCCUUAUUCUUUACCCAGUCAAUGAAUGGGAACAGUCUUUGCUUGUCUAUCUUGUCUAAGCCUCUCGUAAGAUUUACUAGAGAUGUACAAAAUUAACUAAAUAUAAUUGACUCCAAGGAUACACCCUUAAUAACUCAAAUCCCUCCAACCUGGAACCAUUCUGGUGCAUCUCCUCUGUACCUUCUGAAGGAUCCUCACAUUGUUCCUAAAAUCUGGUGAGCAGAACUGGACACACUACUUUAGAUUAGGCCUUUAUGUAAAAAAAAACACAAUUUCUCUGCUUUUGCACUCAGACUUAUGAAGUACAAGUUUCACUUCGAGUGCCCUGCCACUUUCUGUGCACAUGAACUCUCAGAUCCCUCUGUGCUUGCAUAACUCUUUUGAUUUGUGGCAUCAAGUCUAAAAUGCCUCUCCUUAUUGCUUCUGCUAACAUACAUUACCUCACACUUGUAUCAAAUUCCAUAUGUUACUUGUCUGCCCAUUUUGCCAGUGUGCCUUGUUAAUUGAAAUCAUCCCCACUGAAAGCUAUUUGCCACUCACUCUCCAAAACUCUGGCACUUUCCCAGUAUCAACCAAAAUUUGAAAGAUUAUGGCGAGCCUUUCAGCUAGUUCUACCCUCAUUCCAUUAGUGACCUGGAAUGUGAGCCAUCAGGAUCAAGUGACUUACUAACUCUCACAGUUAGCCUUUCUAGUUACUCACGCCUAACAAUUUUCAUGCCGUUCAUUACCUCUAUCAUUCCCCACUUCUUCUGAUGUUUUGUCAGCAUCUUGCACUUUACUAAACACUGGAUACAGAGUGCUCUAAUUAUUCCUGCCUUACCCGGAGCUCCAAAACACCUAUCACCGUCUUUGUUCAUAAAAAGACCAACCCUAUUAUCUCUUGCUAUCCAUUUGCAUCCUAAUAGAAUUUUUUGUUCCCUUUUAAUAUUAGUUGCCAUUUUGUUCUGAUUCUUUACUCAGCCAGUUGUAUAUCUCCCCUCAACUUAUUUUAUUUGGCCUGAUUCUUGCUUGAAGAGUUCAUUUGACGUGCAUAAUACACACUUAUUUUUGUUUCAUCAUAUUCCCUUUCCCUCAUCCUCCAUAGAGUCCUGAAUCGAGAUCUUAUACCAUGUGAGUUCUACUUAAGAUUGUUCAUUGCUCUUCUGCAUUUCUAAUCUAAGCCUUAUAAUAUGGUGAUCAUUAAAUCAAAUGUUUGUCCAUAUGCAAUUAGUUCAUCCAAAUCCCUAACACAACAUGUAGAAAAGCGUAUCAUCUUAUUGGAUGGAGGGCGUACUCACCAAAGAAGUUCUCCUGCACCCAUUACAAAAAUCUUAUCCUCAGUCCUGAUUUCCAUUUAUUUAUGUCUUUCUCACUGUUGUAAGGUCUAUAGAACAUUAAACGUGUGAUCAUCAUAUCUUUCUUGUCUGUCAACCGCAAUCAUGUAGAUUGUCAAGGACGACGACAUCUUUCCAACAUUCCAUCAUUGAACUGUACUGCCACAACUCUUUCUUUUUGCCUUUGCCAACUAUAAUUUUCUAACACUUCCUAUCCCUGUUCUUUGCUUUUGAAAAAUUGUGUCGUCCAUGUUGAAUAUGAAAUGUAAAGUUACUGACUUGAAGGAAUACAAAUGCUUACUAUACAUGCUGAAAGCAUAACAUUGACCAGAACUUGAGAAAAUAGGGUUGGGUCUCCCAUGUGGUAUAGUUUUACCCCUCCCUCACAUUAUAAGAUGAGAUACAAAUCUCUGCAAAAUUGUUGAAUGCAGAACUGAACAGAGGAAAUCUCAGCUGGAAGACAGAAAAGAACUGCAAGUAAAUUUGUAAAUGUUAUUAUUUCAGGUUGGUGCAGAGAUGGUAACCGGUCUUUUCUCUUUUCAAGUGCUGACCGAAGCCCUGUUUAAAGCCAGAAGUUUUAUUUUGAAUUACAGAAUUUCCCAGCCAAUGAUAAUGAAAACAUCGGCUAUUUUCCAUCCGAGGUCAUAUUUCAGCACUUUUUAUGGAUAACGACAGAGUAUCUUUGGUGGAGGUUUGAGAAUUCUCAGACCUUCUUCUGGUCCUUGUCGGUGUACUGAAAUCUAGUACCUUUCAAGAGUUAUCACAAUUGAUCAGAAACAACAUUGUGCUCCCUCAUCCAGACACAUGUUGCCAGAAAGUGUUUUUAAAAGUAUAAAUUCAAGGUAUGGCUUUGUUAUCCAAUAUACUCACUAUAUAAUUGAGACAACUUGUUACUUGUUGCAAAAUGAGUCUUUUUGAAGUUUUCCUGCUGUGGUGUAAAGACAGCACCAAAUUAUAUCAUUGUUAUGCUUCAGUAAUAGUUACUAACAGCACUGACAUUGGUGGUUUGGGAGAACAUUAUUUGCAUCGGUGUUUAAUUGUUGAAACUAAUUGUAUUUUGCUUUUGUUGGGACUUUGUAUACUUUGGCAAUUAUAUUUCUGUAAAUUACCAUCUAAACAAAUAAAAAGUUAAACUUGUAA